AAAGCUGCUCUUAUAAAUGGUUUCGCCAAUCAGUUACCCUUUCUGCCGGCGCGGCGUCUUAAUUUAAAUUGUGCGGUUCGUUAUUUGUACAUAAUGUAUCCAGGGAAGAACGCAGAAGAUUAUAUUCAUAGCUAAUUUGCAUGAAAUUCAAUAUAAAGGGCUCCUCUUCAUGAUCAAAGUGAACGUCACAUAAUCCACGUGCCGGUGUUCGUGCAUUUCGGGCACCACCACCGUAAGAUCAUCCAAAAGCGGCCACGGAAGGGGAAGAACGAGGGGCACGGCCCCCCGCCGCACGGCCGGCCGCCGCGUCGUAAAAGUCGCUCUACAGAUACAGCCACGGCUACAGCCACCACGGUCACACGCUGCCCCGGGCGCCUACAGGUCACUCCCGGUCAAGCACAUCCAAGUGCCCGUCCACCACCAUGUCUCGCGCAAGCCAGUGAAGUCAGUGCCAAAAGGGAAGGGAUUCCACCACAACCAUGUCCACGUCUACCACGCUCACCCCGGUUAAGUCGCCCCGUUUCUUCAUCUAAUAUGGUUGCUGAUUUUUACACCACUAGUUCCGGGUUUCUUAAUUUAUCGCGACGGCAAGCUCACAGCUCGACGUCGCUACAAAAUAGAUUAGUGUCCCCUGGAAUCUGAGAUCUAAAAUUAAUUCAUGCCAUAGAGGGUUAACAAGGAUCUGACAGAAAAUUUUGUAGAGGC
rnacentral:lncRNA from 1 species